UACCAGCUCUCCGAGUGGUAGGGAUGAUUAUCGGGCUUAAAGCGUUCGUAGCCGGCUUAGCAAGUCUCCUGUUAAACUCAGCGACCUAAUCGUUGAAUCGCGGGAGAUACUACUAGGCUAGGAGGCGGGAGAGGUCGACGGUACUUCUGGGGUAGGGGUGAAAUCCUAUAAUCCCGGGAGGACCACCAGUGGCGAAGGCUGUCGACUAGAACGCGCUCGACGGUGAGGGACGAAAGCUGGGGUAGCGAACCGGAUUAGAUACCCGGGUAGUCCCAGCUGUAAACGAUGCGGGCUAGGUGUUGGGAUGGCUACGUGCCAUUUCAGUGCCGCAGGGAAGCCAUUAAGCCCGCCGCCUGGGGAGUACGGCCGCAAGGCUGAAACUUAAGGAAUUGGCGGGGGAGCACCACAAGGCGUGAAGCUUGCGGUUC
rnacentral:rRNA from 1 species